ensembl:lncRNA
CAGGCCCGAGCGGCCAUGACGCAGCAGGGCCCGGGGCCGCCCGCGGCUCCCGCGCCCUCGCUCUCAGACCGCUGACAGAAACGUGCUGUAUACCGGGUUCCCCCCCCCCCAAAUUGUGACUGAAACGUGCCCCAGUUCAGGGUUUUUUUCCCCCUCAAACUAACUCGGCCUGUCCUUUAUUCUGGUAGAACCGAGGAGCAGGAUGGUGGAGGAGGACAGGGAGUGACAGCGUCAGGUGCGCUAGGUGCAGACUUGCAAAAGGGUAACCGCUGACACGGCUGUGAAGUAGCACUGAGGCACUCCUGCUAUUUUUAGAGAUUCCUCAUUGCUUUUGUUCCUACGUCAUGGGUGGAUGAAAUUGCCAGCAAUUAUCCGUGCCAUGCUAUUCCAAGAACUCACGGC